CCUACGAGGGGCUGCAGUGGGGAAUAUUGGACAAUGGGCGAAAGCCUGAUCCAGCCAUGCCGCGUGUGUGAAGAAGGCCUUCGGGUUGUAAAGCACUUUCAGUGGGGAAGAAAGCCUUGGGGCUAAUACCCUCGAGGAAGGACAUCACCCACAGAAGAAGCACCGGCUAACUCCGUGCCAGCAGCCGCGGUAAUACGGAGGGUGCGAGCGUUAAUCGGAAUUACUGGGCGUAAAGCGCGCGUAGGCGGUCUGAUAAGCCGGUUGUGAAAGCCCCGGGCUCAACCUGGGAACGGCAUCCGGAACUGUCAGGCUAGAGUGCAGGAGAGGAAGGUAGAAUUCCCGGUGUAGCGGUGAAAUGCGUAGAGAUCGGGAGGAAUACCAGUGGCGAAGGCGGCCUUCUGGACUGACACUGACGCUGAGGUGCGAAAGCGUGGGUAGCAAACAGGAUUAGAUACCCCGGUAGUC
rnacentral:rRNA from 1 species